UACGUAGGGUGCAAGCGUUAAUCGGAAUACUGGGCGUAAAGCGUGCGCAGGCGGCUUUGCAAGACAGAUGUGAAAUCCCCCGGGCUCAACCUGGGAACUGCAUUUGUGACUGCAAGGCUAGAGUACGGUAGAGGGGGAUGGAAUUCCGCGUGUAGCAGUGAAAUGCGUAGAUAUGCGGAGGAACACCGAUGGCGAAGGCAAUCCCCUGGACCUGUACUGACGCUCAUGCACGAAAGCGUGGGGAGCAAACAGG
rnacentral:rRNA from 1 species